UUGGGGGGGUUGUUAAUUCGUAGCGUUCUUACCAGACGGGUUCGACGGUGAGGGACGAAAGCUGGGGGCACGAAUCGGAUUAGAUACCCGGGUAGUCCCAGCCGUAAACGAUGCUCGCUAGGUGUCAGGCAUGGCGCGACCGUGUCUGGUGCCGCAGGGAAGCCGUGAAGCGAGCCACCUGGGAAGUACGGCCGCAAGGCUGAAACUUAAAGGAAUUGGCGGGGGAGCACAACAACGGGUGGAGCCUGCGGUUUAAUUGGACUCAACGCCGGACAACUCACCGGGGACGACAGCAAAAUGUAGGCCAGGCUGAAGACCUUGCCUGAAUCGCUGAGAGGAGGUGCAUGGCCGUCGCCAGUUCGUACUGUGAAGCAUCCUGUUAAGUCAGGCAACGAGCGAGACCCAAAA
rnacentral:rRNA from 1 species